rnacentral:misc_RNA from 1 species
GAUGAAGAACGUAGCGAAAUGCGAUAAGUAAUGUGAAUUGCAGAAUUCAGUGAAUCAUCGAAUCUUUGAACGCACAUUGCGCCCCUUGGUAUUCCGGGGGGCAUGCCUGUUCGAGCGUCAUUAUAACCCCUCAAGCUCAGCUUGGUGUUGGGGCCUGCCGACUGGCAGCCCUUAAAAUCAGUGGCGGCGCCAUCUGGCUCUAAGCGUAGUAAUUUCUCUCGCUAUAGAGUCCCGGUGGAUGCUUGCCAGCAACCCCCAACUUUCUAUGGUUGACCUCGGAUCAGGUAGGGAUACCCGCUGAACUUAAGCAUAUCAUAAGCGGAGGA